UCUCCAAUAGCUCAGUGGUAGAGCAAAUGGCUGUUAACCAUUUGGUCGUAGGUUCAAAUCCUACUUGGGGAG
rfam:Bacterium TMED88 isolate TMED88 MHASMcontig_369914, whole genome shotgun sequence.